UAUACCAAGUUGGGAACUGUUGCAUUGUCGUGAAGAACUCGUGCCUUUUCCAUACCGAAAUGGCAUCCAAGCUCAAUAUCAUACGGAUUUUGGUGGUCUGCAUGAUGAUCAUUCCGUACAUAGCGCUGGUCAACGGGCAAGAUAGUCAAAUAAGAUAUUGUGAAACCCCUGCCGAUUGCGCAGCAGAACCUUGUCCCCCAGGUGUCGAGAAACUAUGUCACGCAGUCUUUAAUAUCCCUCCAAAAACAUGCCUGUGUAAGGUGUCGUAAUGACGAUCGUAUUGGUAUAUGCAUGGCAGCAACGAGGCAAAUGCAAAGUAUUUGAAAAAAACUUCGACUCUUCAAGUUUCCAAAUGAAUUAUUUCAAUCGCUUCCAUGCAUAUUCCUAAAUCUCCUACUCCGAGCAAUAGUGUCGUUAUAUUAUACAAAAUCAAAUUGGAAGAAUGAGAAAUAAUUAAAUCCUUACAGAAUGGCACGUCA